rnacentral:rRNA from 1 species
GAUGAACGCUGGCGGCGUGCCUAAUACAUGCCAGUCGAGCGAACAGAUGAGGAGCUUGCUCCUCUGACGUUAGCGGCGGACGGGUGAGUAACACGUGGAUAACCUACCUAUAAGACUGGGAUAACUUCGGGAAACCGGAGCUAAUACCGGAUAAUAUAUUGAACCGCAUGGUUCAAUAGUGAAAGACGGUUUUGCUGUCACUUAUAGAUGGAUCCGCGCCGCAUUAGCUAGUUGGUAAGGUAACGGCUUACCAAGGCAACGAUGCGUAGCCGACCUGAGAGGGUGAUCGGCCACACUGGAACUGAGACACGGUCGAGACUCCUACGGGAGGCAGCAGUAGGGAAUCUUCCGCAAUGGGCGAAAGCCUGACGGAGCAACGCCGCGUGAGUGAUGAAGGUCUUCGGAUCGUAAAACUCUGUUAUUAGGGAAGAACAAAUGUGUAAGUAACUAUGCACGUCUUGACGGUACCUAAUCAGAAAGCCACGGCUAACUACGUG